rnacentral:tRNA from 1 species
UGGGGCGUCGUCAAGCGGUAAGACACAGGCCUUUGACGCCUGCAUUCAUAGGUUCGAAUCCUAUCGCCCCAGCCA